rnacentral:rRNA from 1 species
UACAUGGGGUGCAAACGUUGCUCGGAAUUAUUGGGCGUAAAGCGCACGUAGGCGGUUUGUUAAGUCGGAUGUGAAAUCCCUCGGCUCAACUGAGGAAGUGCAUCCGAAACUGGCAGGCUUGAGUACUAAAGAGGGUCGCGGAAUUCCCGGUGUAGAGGUGAAAUGCGCAGAUAGUCGGGAGGAACACCGGUGGCGAAGGCGGUUCUCUGGGCCUGUACUGACGCUGAGGAGCGAAAGCGUGGGGAGCGAACAGG